UCGCAAGAGCAAGGAUACAGGUGGUGCAUGGUUGUCGUCAGCUCGUGUCGUGAGAUGUUGGGUUAAGUCCCGCAACGAGCGCAACCCUUGUUGUUAAUUGCUAACAGGUUAAGCUGAGCACUUUAGCGAGACAGCCUAGGUUAACUAGGAGGAAGGUGGGGAUGACGUCAAAUCAUCAUGCCCCUUACGUUUAGGGCUACACACGUGCUACAAUGGUGAGAACAGAGAGAAGCAAGCUAGUGAUAGUGAGCAAAACUUAUAAAACUCAUCUCAGUUCGGAUUGCAGGCUGAAACUCGCCUGUAUGAAGAUGGAGUUGCUAGUAAUCGCGAAUCAGAAUGUCGCGGUGAAUACGUUCCCGGGUCUUGUACACACCGCCCGUCACACCAUGAGAGUUGGCAACACCCGAAACCUGUGGGCUAACCAUAUAGGAGGCAGCAGUCUAAGGUGGGGUCAGUGAUUGGGGUGAAGUCGUAACAAGGUAGCCGUAGGAGAACCUGCGGCUGGAU
rnacentral:rRNA from 1 species